CUGAUGAUGAAGAGAGAGGCAGUGGCAGAGGGGGGGCACCUUUUAUUUCUAUUUUUAAAGGGACAGGACACUAAUUCUACCCCACUUCAACCUUGAAUUCAGGGGGGUGGGGGGAAGGCGGCUGAGUUCCUUCCCCCACCUUCCAGCCCUGAGCCCUGAGAGGGGGAUUGAGCCUGAGAGAGGAGAAGGAGUUUCUUCUUCUUCGAAAACCCCCAUCCACGACUCCUACCCCCUCACCCCUCCAACUCGCCUCCCUCCCGAGCCCCCUCCACCCUCCUCCUCUUUGGCCGUGAGAGGAGGAGAGAAAGAAACCAAAAGCCUCUUAGCAACACAGACCCUUUGCUGCUGCUGUUGCUGCUGCUGCUGCUGUUGCUGCUGCUGCUACUGCUGCUGCUGCUACUGCUGCUGCUGCUACUGCUGCUGCUUGGCCCUGGCUGGAGACAUCUCACUACACCCAGGAGCAGCCACUUCCCCAGCUCUCCUCCUCCUCCUUCGCCUCCUCCUCCUCCACUCCCCCCCUUUAUUACCCUUUGUGUCAUCCUCCACAGCUCCAGGGAAGGCACUCAAAAGUGGGGGGCAGGAAAGAUGUACAUUGAAGAUGUCAGUUUCUACAUGUGGGAAGUAGACAUUGAAGGCUUUAUGGUUUACAGACAAGAUCUUUAGAAGUUAAGCACUAAAGGACCAAGGAAAUAAAUACCAGAAAUCAAGAAGAGCACAGACUAUUUUCCUUCAUCAAUCCAUAGAACCCUAAUGCUUCUUUAGUUCCAUCAAACACAGAGGAAUGACCACCAUGGCAGAUGGCAACAGAGGAUGUCAACAAUUUUUUGGAGAGAGAAGAGGUACUCCCUUAUAGGGACUCGUAAAGACGUAGAGCAUCUGGAAAUUAACUGCCUCCAUUACACUGCUGAGUCACACACAACGCUUGUUAUGUUUUCAUCACUUCUCUCCAGAAGGUUUCAGAAUCUCCUCUUCAACUACCUACAAUGAAG
rnacentral:lncRNA from 1 species